rnacentral:rRNA from 1 species
AGUGAACGCUGGCGGUAGGCCUAACACAUGCAAGUCGAACGGCAGCACAGUAAGAGCUUGCUCUUACGGGUGGCGAGUGGCGGACGGGUGAGGAAUACAUCGGAAUCUACUUUUUCGUGGGGGAUAACGUAGGGAAACUUACGCUAAUACCGCAUACGACCUACGGGUGAAAGCAGGGGAUCUUCGGACCUUGCGCGAUUGAAUGAGCCGAUGUCGGAUUAGCUAGUUGGCGGGGUAAAGGCCCACCAAGGCGACGAUCCGUAGCUGGUCUGAGAGGAUGAUCAGCCACACUGGAACUGAGACACGGUCCAGACUCCUACGGGAGGCAGCAGUGGGGAAUAUUGGACAAUGGGCGCAAGCCUGAUCCAGCCAUCCCGCGUGGGUGAAGAAGGCCUUCGGGUUGUAAAGCCCUUUUGUUGGGAAAGAAAAGCAGCAGGUUAAUACCCAGCUGUUCUGACGGUACCCAAAGAAUAAGCACCGGCUAACUUCGUG